UACGAAGGGGGCUAGCGUUGCUCGGAAUCACUGGGCGUAAAGGGUGCGUAGGCGGGUCUUUAAGUCAGGGGUGAAAUCCUGGAGCUCAACUCCAGAACUGCCUUUGAUACUGAAGAUCUUGAGUUCGGGAGAGGUGAGUGGAACUGCGAGUGUAGAGGUGAAAUUCGUAGAUAUUCGCAAGAACACCAGUGGCGAAGGCGGCUCACUGGCCCGAGUACUGACGCUGAGGAGCGAAAGCAUGGGUAGCGAACAGG
rnacentral:rRNA from 1 species